UUUCCUUCUUUCGGUACUCGGGUUGUCAGGUGAGCGGUUGCUCGGGCUUUGUGUCCAUCGCAAUCCGACUCGUAUCGGCCCUUUAGUCCAGCCAUCCGACUUCGCUAACCCCAUUUAUCUUUUCUUCUGCAGGUCCCUGCCGAUAUGCGAGCCAAGUGGCGGAAGAAGCGAAUGCGCAGGCUGAAGCGUAAAAGACGAAAGAUGAGGCAGAGGUCCAGGUGAACUACUGCUGAUGGUGCAGUACCGAUCAGGCUUUGUUGAAUCUUGCAUGGCAAAUGGACUCUUGGACACUUCUGUUUGUUGUUCCACUGAGAUCAACGAUAUAUAUGGACGUCUUGGAUACUGGUCAUGAAAGAAGCUGAACACCUGAACAUCGGUCUGUUUUAGUACUGUGCCAUGAUGUAUAAUAGCUACAAAAUAAAAGAUAAACUAGACAAUUGUA